UUUAGUGUUUUAUUUUGGUCAAGUUUUUAAUAUUAUCACGGUUUUUAAUAAUUAAUUAAUUUAUUAGUAUUAAACUAGUUCAUAAAAUCACACACAUGGCGUCCUUAUAGAUUAGGGCGUUACACUAUUGGUAAGUACUUUCGAGUUAAAUUUAAAGUCCUUAACGAGCUUCUCUUAGGAAAUAUUGUUAUUUGCUUUGCCCAGCUGAAAAGUCUUCUCUUCCACCUCUUUUUUUUUGCAUCCUCCAAUGUUGACUUCAGUGCCUUGUUGGUUGUUAUGACUUUUAGAGUGGCAAAUUUAGCUCGAGAAUAAGUGUAAGCCAUCUUCAGAUUAAGUUGCACGAUGAAACAAGAUUAAAACAUGCUCGGCCUAAAGCCUCUAUAGAAAAAUAAAUGGAAAAGUACUUACUCGGCAGCCUCUUAAUUCAACCAAUUAGCAGCUCCACAGACAUAUAUCCUAUACCCUAGCCAGUUAAUCGUUUACCUCAUUCUUUAGCUUUGAUCGUCUUGGACUGCAAGCCUGCUGGUCAUGUCAUCCCUUCAUUAUAGUUCCACCAGCUAAGGGCCCUUUUGCCAGAGAAGUCUGAUCAACUCAAACUCAUUACAGUGCUUCCACAUCCAACUGUAGUUUUUUUUUCCCUUUGCAGGCUCUCAUUAGCCAUAGUGUGGUCCCAUCUGAAAGCUUUGGAAGUACAUUAGACGCCUUAUAUAUAGCUCAAGAUGCUUCCUCAAGUAAACCACUUUGAACAUUUAUAUAUAGUAUAAUAUCCCUUCCUUUAUACACAUGUAUAUAUAAUAUUAUAUGUAAGUACUGUAGAAGCAAGAAAAGCAAGAAGCUAGCUAGGGCACGUGGGAAGAAAUGGAAGAAUGGUCAAAAUAGGAAGACUGAACAAAAUUCAUGAUAAAAAGGAAGAAGCUAGAAUAGAGCCAAAAGUGCAAUAAAUGAGUAGAAGGAGACAGUUUCUUCUACCAUCACAAAGCUGGAAUAAGAAUUGAGGUUAGAGAAAGUAGGUCGAGGUCCAGCACCAGGGUCUGGGUUCGUGACUACGACAUGCAUGAUCUAAGUCUAAGGUCUGGGCUCGAGCUAGGCUCAGGGUCCAUGGUCCGGGUCUAGAUUCAGGGUCUGGGUCUGUAGCCGGGGUUAGGGUUAGGAGUUGGAUUUGGGAGGUCCGGGUCUAUGUUCAUAUACAUAUUGCACUUGUCCCCUCUCCACCACACCAUGACCUUUAAAUUUAAGAAGUUGAGCCUUUGACUGGCUGGAGAACCUCUGUUCGAGAGCGCGUCAAAUAGAGUGCGAGGUGGGAAAGCUAGCAACUGAGGAAAGAACACCCUCAGUCAUGGAAGAACGCAAUCCAAGAUAGUAAGAGUUGAUCCUUGCGCUUCCAUUGAUUGUAGGCAGGGUGUUUUCCAUUGACCAAGGUGGACGGUGGAGGAAUUCUGAUCAGCAAGAUCUCAUCAAGAUCAUGACUGAUUACGGUGGGAACCACCUGCGAUUUCUAUGACAAGAAAUUAGUGCGAUCAAGCUUGACCGUUAAAGUAGAGGUAAGAGAGCUGGGGAACAGAUUUCAGGUUGAGUUCAAUGGAAUCGACAUUGUUGCAGUAGCCUAAAGAAGAACUGCUUGAGUGGACGGAGCUUUGGUCGGAUCGGUGGAAGAAAAUUCCAUUAACAAUGUAAGUCAAGAGAAUAUGAUACCAUGUAGAGAUUCAGAGUGUGAAUUUAGAGAGAAUAUGAUACCAUGUAGAGAUUCAGAGUAUGAAUUUUAGAAAAGAGAAAAAUUUAGAGAGAAUUUUAGCAUAAAUCAAAGCUCAAACUUUAUUGAAUGAACACGUUAUGUUAUUUCAACCAAUACACAUAACAAAAAAUUAAGAAAGCAAACAGAAUUCUAUUACAAUGUAAACAAAAAUAGUUAAAGAAAGUUGUUUUAACUUAUUUCAAUAACUCUAUUUGUAAUGACAAAUAUUUUUAUGUUAUGUCAAUUAAUGUCCAGGUAAA